UCUGUAUUGUGUGUGUGUGUGUGUGUGUGUGUGUGUGUGUGUUAAUGUGUGUGGUGGUAGGCAAUGACUCCAGUUUAACCAGUGAAUGAGUUUCUCUGGUCUCUUUGAUGAAAGCUUCCUUCUCACUCUCUCACACGCACGCACACUCACUCGCGCACAAAGUAAGGUGAAUUGAAUGAAGACUUUUUUCAUUUUGAAGUUUGAAUCUAAAUCAGUCAAAUCAGACUCAUCCCUUUAAUUAAAAUGAGGGAGGUCAUUUAAGAUCAAACACAGUGCUGAAAUAGCCUCUCACUGUUACCAAGAAGACCACAGGGUGCCGAACCUGCAUUGAGUUUUACUAAUUAGCCUACCUGCCGCAGCUCGCCUGCCAGGUGGUUUUCUUGAUUAGUUAAUUGGUUGCAUCUGGUGCGUUUCACUUAAAAGGGAACCGGACAGUACAUUUGUUUGUUGUAUUGAGGUCUGUUGUGACUUAUUUAACAUCUCUUCCAGUUUCACAGGUUAAAGACUUUUUGAAGUAAAGAGGAGCAUCUCAUCUGAACCUGAUGUCUAUCAUGGAUAUUUAACUGCAGUUCUGUGAGUAUCCCAACUUAACCAUGAAGCAUAACUGCAAACUGUAAGUCAUUAAUUUCUCAUUACUCUUGGGCACAUUGAUGUAUUUUGACUUCCUGGUGAGUUAACCUGUUACCUGAAGGUUGAUCUGAGUAUAAGGAUGUUUUAUUGGUUCAUGGGUUACUUAGGUGUUUGGUUUAUGUUGGUAUUAAUGAUUUGUUAAAAUGGUUACAGGCUCCAAGUUAUUGUUGUAAGCUGGAGUAAUUGGUUGGGUUCUGAUAUCUUCAGUCUUCUUUCAUUCUACUCUGAGCUCUGCAUCUUCAUCACAUGAGUGUUGCUUUACUGAUGAGGGUGUGGUCUGAGUGAGCAGAGGUGCAUACUGGGAUACAGAGCUGUCUGAAGUCUACAGGUCUGUUGACACGCCCCCUCAGGGGAAACCCAGUGUUUGAGAAACUGUGGUGACGUCAGUUACAUGGAUUGGAAUGUUCUUAAAGAUGGAGACAGGGAUUCAGAAAGAGAAACACCAGGGGGAGAUGAGGGGGCUCCUCAUCUCAACGACUAGAACACAACUUCAGUCUGACAUAGAGAACCAUGGAACACAUUCAACAGUCCCCUCCAGGCAUCGUGACUCCUCAGGAACAGUUUCAUUUCACUUAUUUGGGGCCAUCCCCAUAUGGAUCCUGCUCCUCAAGAGCCACCCCCCUCCACUGGGUGGUCUUCUGAACAGAUGACCUCCUUCCUGUCCUCAGGCUGACUCAAGCUGCACCGUUUACAUCUGUGAAGGCCCCUCAUUCAGGAAACCACUGGACUAUAAAGACAUGACUUCAGAGAUGUUGAAUCUACCUGGGACACAUUUUGGAGACGCCAAGCAUAAUCCAUCACCAAUGUGGGACGCCACUGAAGAAUGUUGUACAUAAUUUACGUCUCUGGAGACAUUGGUUGUUCUGUUAUGGGUGCCCUGGCAGGAGAGCUGGGGGGGAUGAUGGAAUGGAAUUUUGCGAAAAAUUAUUGGAUCAUUCUUAGAAUUGACAUUUCUCUGGGCCAAUCGGAAUCUCAGCACUUGCUUCAGAAUCUUUCUUAUAAUUGACAUUUCUCUGGGCCAAUCGGAAUCUUGAAGCACACAGCGCCAACUGAGCUCGCCAUUGGAUGAGACGGUCGCCUGGCUACCGCGCAUGCGCAUCCGCAUCCGCAUGUAUGAGGCCAAACAACACAAGAGAGCUUGCGAAACACUCGUCCAGAGGGGUGUUCCACGAACGGAGGUUUAACAAACACUGAGUUAACGCUGAACUCUAGGUUGAUUUACCCUGUGCCGACCAACCGAGAGUUUUCGGUUCCACAGCAGCGGUUAUGCAUUAGUUCAAUCAACUCGGGGUUGGUUAACACGGGGUUGUGCGCGUCCACGCCAAACCUAAAAAGACGUGAUGUAUGGAUCAUGGAAACCCUGAUCGAAAUAGCGAAACGGGCCGCUUAUUUCAAUGAAAUGGAACUUCAGGUUCUCCUGGAGAGCUAUGACGAGGAGAAGGACAUUAUCACAAGAAAAGGGAACGCUAAAACCUCUGCAACCCGGAGAACCAAAGCCUGGCAGCGGAUCGCUGACCGUGUAAAUGCGUUAGUUACAAGUCAAAAGCAUGAUCCUUAAUAUUUGAGCCAUGAAUAUAAAUAUCCCAGUUAAGCAUUCUUAAAGAUCCUACCACAUAACCCCUUUCCUUUAAAGAAAUAUGUACUCCGAUGGCUUCCAAGCGGUCAGUGGAACAAGUAUAAAAAUGAAGUAUAAAAAAACAUACAAACUGGUAAGCUUUUCCCACCAUCGUAUUGGUAUAAAUUUAAAUAAGCCAUUUUUUUAAGCCAAUCGUGAAAAGGCCGACAGUCGGCAGACUGGAUCUGGCCCUCAAAUUGUCUUGACCCCGGUGGAGGAGCUGUUAAUAAACAUAAAUUCAGGGCGCCCUGGCAUGGAGGGGGUACCUGGAGGUACCUACCUCCUCAGAGUCAGGGGCCAUACCCCACUGGUUGAAUGUAGGUUUUUGUGUUUUCUUGUAUUUUAGAUAUUUUUUGCCUUCGAAGUAACACAUGCAAACCAUGUGCUUGCCACAGCGCAUACUAUUCCUAAUGUUUCUUUUUUUGGUAACUGGGUAGAAAACCUAAAAGUGACAAUUCAUCAACUUCACAGAAUAAUAAUUAUUUUUUGUCUCCAAUAAUAAGAGACAAAACAAAAAGAUUGCCCCGUGACACCGUCACCUUUUUUCCUCUGUGGAGUUUGCAGGUCUGGUGUGUGUCCGGCUUGCUUUGACAGUGAUAAUGUUCAUACGGGGGUCUGUGUGAUUGGCUUGGGAUAUUGGAAUGGUCAACUAAAUCAUACCUGAUGGACGGCCACACGUUUACUUAAGGGCCUCCAGUAGACAUGAAGAGCCCUGAGCGACGCUCCGGAGCGAUAUCCAACACACUGGGCAGGAAGGAGAGUAUCGAACUCAAGUGUAAAAGGAUGCAAGCGACGUGUUCAGAUCAGUGACUUCCAACUAGGACUACACCAAUCAGGAUCAAUGGAGGAUGGACACCAUAAGGAAUUCAACAAGGAGAGUCCGACGUUGGAAAGGGACCUAAAUGGAUAUUCAAGAUGACCUUCAGACCUGUAAUGAGACGGCUCUUCCUACCUGGCUGGAUUGAUGGAGAGCCCUGUGGAUCUUGUCUUGCUCUCAGUUGCACGUCUUCUCAGGCUGAACUGUAUUUGUUUCGGACAGGACUAGCUGAACGAUUGGUUCCCUUAAAUCAGAACCAAUCCGGGAGCUAGUGCGCUCUUCGAGCUGAAGUUGUGCUCUUCAGCUGAGGAGGUAAGGAAACCUUCACUGGGGCUUCAAGGUGUAAAGAGGAGAAUGUUUCAAAGUGUUCCAUGGUACUCUGAUGAAGACCGUUGUUGUGUUCCACUGGCUGAGAGGAAGAACGACACAUCUUCCUCUUGGCCUUCUCCUCUCAGAAUCCUGCCACCAUCUUGAAGGAUAUUCCAGCUCAUGUAACUGAUGUCACGACAGAUUCUGAAACACUUGAUUUCUCCUGAGGGGCGUGUCUAUGGAACUGAAGACUUCAGACAGCACUGUAUCCCAGCAUGCAUCUCUGCUCACUCAGACCACACCCCCAUGGGUAGGAUGCAACACUCUAGUGAUGGAGAUGUAGAGUUUUAUAAGUAAGGGGAGGGAGCAGACUAAGGUGAUUAGACCACAAUGGAAUGUCAUGUCUGUAAAUCUUUAAACCAUGAAGAUGGUUCUAUAGUUCAGGAAUUGGGCUUCUUUUUACUAUGGGCAGUUCUUUCACUCAGAUGCCCACUUCUCACUGGAGCUGUACAUGUGUUGGCUGGCUGGCAUGAUUUGCUGUUGGUGAUGAGGCGGUCAGGGUGACGUUGCAGGGCUAUGGUCGGCUCUCUGUGAGCUCAACGUUUAGAUUUGCUCUGUAUGGUUUGUACCCUGAAUAAUCUUAAUUGUAAAAUGUAGACACGGUUUUGUAUUGAAUGAUUCCAGGAUUUUAGGUUUAAAGUUGUUGUGGGACGUACAUGGUAGUUUGGUUCUUCGUAUGGUUUUGAGUGAUAUAACUUGUACACACUGGGUGCAUAGUAAUGUAAAGGUACACUGAAUAGUAGAAAUGACCAACAGCAACAAACAGAUCUCCUCAAGGUAAGUCUGUUGGCUGUGUUUCAAUGAAGACCAUCGCUGGACUUCAGGAUCUUCCUCCGUUCAGCUCAAGGUGAGGCGCUGGUUCUGUUUUUUCUUUGGUUGGUUCCGGCCGGAAUGUUCGGAUUCCAGUCGGACGGUUUGUGCUUCCCGCCGUGGAAGGUUCUGAGUGAGGUCACUUGAUUUAGUCCCAAUGGUUAGCAUAGAACGUUGUAGUCUUGACAACCAUUAGAAACCACCUGGCAGUUAGUUGGACCGGAGUCCCCUGAGGGAAUCUGGCGGAACGUUCUGGAUUGUAUUCGCGUAACCUCGAGCCGUUGCCAACGGAUACUAUUUUUCAUUCGGUUUCCAUUGGGAAUUGUUGCCCCCUAUCUUAAACAACUUAAGUUUGAUAUUAAAUACAUACUGACAUGUACGUCGUACAAUAUGUUAAUUUCCGAUGGUUGCGCCGUACUUUUAACCACGAUGACGUUGCGGGACUCUCACUGCGUACAAAACAGCGUUCUACUUGCGGGCCCAUUUUUGACAUCAGCGAGGGCUGAAAAUCAUUUCAAGGUGGAAGAUAAUUUUACAUUUCUUCAACGGAACCCAGCACCUGAAUAUGGCUGAGUAUAUUUGAUUUAAUAUCGAUAAUGCUUAGUGUUCUUUGUUACUUCAGCUUUUGUACGUUCUAAAUAUCUGCUGUCAUUAAUUGCCACAGAAGUUAAACCCUACCCAAUGGAAUGACGUUAAACAACGACUUUGGUGCAGAGUUAACAACUGGAUAAUAUCAAAGCUAAAAUAAUGGCCGUCAUUCCCACAUGUUACAGUAGAAGAUACUCUAGAACUGUACAAGGUUAAAAAGGUAACAUGUAGUUUGUCCCAAGGUGUCUACCUCCUCACCCAGAGCAAGACCUCCACCUCCUCCCCCAGAGCCAGACCUCCACCUCCUGUCAGAAGUCCUCCAGAACAGGGUGGACCGGAGACUGAGGCUGGAGACCAGGGGCCUGCAGCACCGGACCAGAGGGUAACCAUCACCAAGCUCAUCUGAAACACUAAAAUCCACGACCAGGAAUCCAUGUCUGGAGGAGCCGUGCUGAAGGAGCUGAUGGAGAUGCCGUGCUGAAGGAGCUGAUGGAGAUGCCGUGCUGAAGGAGCUGAUGGAGGAGCCCUGCUGAAGUAGCUGAUGGAGGAGCCCUGCUGAUGGAGGAGCCGUGCUGGAGGAGCUGAUGGAGGAGUCGUGCUGAAGGCCCUGCCUGGUGGAGGAGCUGGUGGAGGCCCUGCCUGGUGAAGGACGUCUGUCGUGGGACCAGGACUCUGUCUGAGGAGAGCUGCUGGAGGAGCUGAGACCCUGGAGGACGACUAGGAAUCGACCAACAAGGAUUCCUUAACGUGUUUCUGGAGCGGAGGCGAGCUGGUAGGGGAGCUGUGAAUCUGGAGGAUGACCAUCACUCUACCAACAAGGAUUGUAAGUUUGUAUUAACCAAACAAACUGGAAAUAAAGGGCUUAAAAAUAAGACAAACUACAUGUUUGUUACCAGACUUUAGGGCCAGACUCGCGCUGUUUGUUCCAGACCAGGACUCUGGCUGAGGAGAGCUGAUGGAGGAGCCAAAACUCUGGUCUACGACAUCACUCCACCAACCAGGAUCCUCGAAUCUGGAGGACUGAUGGAGAAGCCGUACAUCUGAAAGGCAAAUCCUGAGGACCACCAGGACUCUACCAUCAAGGAUUCCUCAUAUGUUAUCUAUUAUCUGGACAUAUUGGACUAGACACACCUGAGCCGAACCUCACCUGAUCCUGUUUGGUUGGGGGUAGACACACCUGAGCUAAACCCGCCCUGAUCCUGACAUCCUGCUGGUCCCGUCUCCUCAGUUCAUCUGAGCCUCGUCCUCCAGAAGACCUGCUGAGCUCAGCAGUCUGAGGCUGAUGGAUCAUUGACCUCCAGUGGGAGUGAUCUUCUUGACCCCACCUGUAACCGUGUGCUUCCACACGCCUUUCCCUCACGUCUGUCACUAACCUCACUACUUCACUACUCUCCACUGCUUCCUCUUUUCUUCCUUCUCUGUGGUUCAAACCUUUACACUGAAGGCGCGUCUUCCUGCCCUCAGAGGGUUUAGCGUUAGGGUUGAGAGUCAGGGUUUAGAGUCAGGGACAGAGCUGGUCAGGGAGGACUGCUUUUACACAAACCUCUUCAUUUGCUUUCGGAAUGGUGGUGGAAUUUUGAAAAGAUUCAUUUGGGAAAAUGUUUUCCUCUGCUUUCCUUUACAAAAUUGUAUUUAACUUCUGUCAAUUGUUUUUGUUUAGAUAUUAAAAUCCCACAUUGACUUC